GCCGACUCCUGCCCACUCUUCACGCCUUGUUUCACACCCCUCACUCCUCCAACAUUGUUCCCAGCCACACAGGACAUCUCUCAGUUCCUGGAAGCUGCCUCACCUCUGGGCAUUUGCACAUCUUACAGUCCUGCUUGGCUAACUCCUACUUAUCUCUCAAGAGUUCGUUUAGAUACCACUUCCUCCAGGAAGCCCUCUGUGAUCCUUAGUCUGGGUUACAUAGACCUCCAAGAGCUCCUAUAUCCAUUUAUAUUUUAUUUAACAAGCAUUUAUUGAUCACCACUUUUGUGCCAAGUUCAGCUGCAUCACUGUAUUAUUCUUACCUGUAUGUUUCACUAGACCUUAUGCUCUGUGGGGUGGGCAUCUUGCGUGUCUUCCUCGUCAAUAUGUCCCCAGGACAUUCAACAGUAUGUGAAACACAGUCAACGCUCCAUCUCACGGCCUUGAGCAAUGUGAGUUUAUUCUGCAGUUCUGGGAGUCAGAUCUUAACAGGACUAAGGGUGUCGGCAGGGCGGGGUCCUCCUGGAGGCUCUAGGUGAGUGUAGGGGGCUGAACAGUGGCCCCCAAAAGAUAUGUCCACGUCCUCAUCCCGGGGUCCUGAGAAUAGCACCUUAUAUGGCAAAAGAGUGCACAUUACCUUAUAUGGAAAAGCGUGGGAUUAAGCUAAGGAUGCUGAGAGGAGGAGCUUCUCUUGGAUUUCCCAGGUGGGCCCUAAAUGCAGCCACGUGUAUCCUUAUCAGAGAGACACACGGACAGACGGACAAGAAGACAGAGAAUGGAGAAGGCAGUGUGACUGUGUGCCAGAGACUGGAAUGAUGCUGCCACAAACCAGAGAAAGUCGACAGCCGCCCGAAGCUGGAGGCAGCAGAGCACGGACUCCCCCCGAGCCUGCAGUGGGGCCUGCAUUUCGACGCUAUGAUCUCCGGCUUCUGGCCUCCAGAACUGUAAGAGAAUAAAUUUCUGUGGUUUUAAGCUACCAAAUUUGAGGUCAUGUGUUACAGCAAUCGCAGGAAACUAAUAUGGUGAGAAUCUGUGCCUAGCCUUUUCCAGCUUCUAGAAACCGCCUACAUUCCUUGACUUAUGGCCCCUCCUCCAUCCUCAAAGCCAGUGGUGUAGCAUCUUCUCUCCUCCAUGACCUUCUGCCUCCCUCCUAGAAGGAUCCUUGUACUACACUGAGUCCACCUGGAGAACCAGGAUAACCUCCCCAUCUCAAGAUCCCGACUUAGUCUCAUCUGCAAAGUCCUUUUUACCCUGUAAAGUAACAUAUCCACAGGAUCUGGGGUCUAGGACGAGCACAUCUCGGGGGGUGAACCACACUCAGGUACCCGGCUCCAAGGUGUUUUGCAAGCAGUCAUCUCUGGAGGUCCCCAUUAGAACUUGAGGUCCCUCGAAUCUGCAGAAGGACUCAGCGGACUGUGCUCACCUUCUUCUCUUCCCGCCAGGAGACUUGGUCCUCUCCCUCCGAUCCCUGCUCUGGAAAGGCCCCUGGGGCCCCUUUGAGUUGGGUGGCAGAGAUGCUCACAGGUCUUCAAACCCUGCUUCUGCUCCCCACACUCACUGGAACCCACAGCCCUGAGGGCCUCCCCUCCCUUGGCUGCCUCCCUUCCGUCCUUCCCAGCACCCUCACGACCAUGCUCCGAUGUCCCCAGACCCCAGCCAUCCGUCAGAGUCCACAGGCCUUGGGCCUCCUGCCUUAUGGUGGCCAUGCUUCCCCAAAGCUCACUCAGAACCACUUCCAGGGUGGCAGUGAGCGAGAGCGUAAGUGGGCCACUGUCCUUGGAAUAAUCCAGGACAGGACUACCAACAGCCCAUGUCACCUUAGGCCACAGUCGGCUGGGGUCAAAGCAAUGCAGAGGGAACAAGGGAUUCUGGCUCAGCUUCAAGCCCUCCCUUUUUUGGACUCCGAUGUGGUUCCUGAACACCUAGCCCCCUCGUUCUCUCUCUGGCAGACACUGUGGCCUGACCAACGCCCUCACCCCCAUGUCUUCCUACGAACUGGCCCCCAACUUGGUUCACCCUGCUCCUCAGGGAAGACCGGGACCGCCAAGCCCACGGGCGUGAAUUCUAAUCGGUCCACAGCCAUCGUGCUGGCUCAUUUUCCCUGACAAAUGACUGAUCAGGCAUGGGCAGGUGAAGCAGUUCUGGCCAAUGAAAUGUGAGGCUCCGGAGAAGGAUUUUUUUCAUCUUUAAAAGGAGACAAAAGCUACAGAAGUUGUGUCAUUGCCGGAGUCUGAGGCCUGGCCCUACGGAGCCCGUCUUGAGAGCCCAGGGGAGCAGCUGGGAGGACAGACAGGGACGGGGGCGGGGACAGAAGAGACAAGCAACCAGCCUGUGUCUUGGGGCAUGCAGCGGCUGCUUGAACUGGGUUUCUCUUAUUUGCAUGGCAAGCCCCUCACGGACUCCCCGCUGUGCUGCUGCGGCUUAUGCUCUCCUUUGCACUGUCCCUGCCCACCCCUGGCCUGUGAGGCCCUGUUGGCUCUAGGCAUCCUUGCAGCAGCUGCUGCUAAAGCCCCCACCACUGGCUGGUUUUGCCGCCCCUCUCUUGUUCUACUCCAACAGAGGGGAAGCAGCCACGGCAAAGGUCCACAGAGCAGCGUCACCAGGUGUAUACACUGGUUAUGAAAUGGUUAAGCCUGGGCCACUGGUGGGUGGGGGGAGGGGAGGGGAAUUAACGUGGAGUUGAUGGCUCCCCGCACAAUGGGGAGACCUUUCUAGUUGUCACUGGACUGGAAAGUUGUUCUCUUCCUGCCAUAAGUCAGGGUGGUCCACACAGCCCUCCUGUGGCUGGAUGUGGUGCAGAGACAAAGCAGAGAGGAGCCCCCAUGGGUCACCGGAAGCCACAGCAGGGCCUGUGGGAGAGACACUCUUCCCCACACUCGCUAAGAUGGGUUAGCAAGAGCAGCCCAGAGCCUCAGAAGUACGGUGAGGGGCUCCGCAGGUAAUGGGGUCUGGAUGGGAAGAAACGUAGCCCAGGAGGCUGUCUGCUCUGCACUCAGUGUGACCAGCCAGGAGCAGGAUGCUGAGGACGAAGAGAACUCCAGAGGCUUCGACUGGAGGGGGCCUCCCCUCGGGCUCCUUUGCCGGGCCACGGUGGUUCUUUCUGUGGCAGGGUUUCGACUUAGGACCAAAACUGCCCUCCUGGUAACUUGGAAUGGUGUAACUACUAGUGUGCACAUGUGCUCAGCUGUGCAGUAUCAUUUACAACGUGGGCCAGUCACUCUCCUGGAAUCGUAGUCACCGAGUCCCCAGGCAAGGCUCAUCAGCUAUCCUUGACCACCCCCUUCCCUCUCUCCGCCUUCCGGCCAGUCACCAGCUCCCCUGGAGUCCGCCUAGGAAAACACACCACACAAAGAUGUGCACACGCAGACACACAAACACAAACCCAUGUACACGUAUAAAGACACAUAGAUACAUGCACACAAGUACACACAUACACGUUUACAUAUGCACACUGAUAACACAAACACACACAAAUAUAGGUACACAUCCGUGUUGAAACACACACAUGCACAUACAGACAUAGAUAUGCACACGUCCUCCCAUAAGGCAUAUACACUAGAACCAUGUGAAGUGCUGGUUAGAAAUGAAGAUUCCUCCACCUCACCCCACCAAGCCUGGAGGACUAGGCGGCUGAGUGAGGCAUUCUGAACCCUUCUUUUUAAUGCCCUAGAGCUGCUCCUGCGCCACGCAGCGAGCACGGCUUACAAACAGGCCUCUGGACAGCCUGGCAUUUUCACAGUCUCCAUUCCGAACCACCAGCCUUGACUCACCUUCCCGGUUUCUAAAUUCCUAUUCGUUUUCCCUCAACAGCUUUGUUCUACUGGAAACUGACCCUCGGCCUCACGUCUCUGGAAGUUCUGAUCUUCCCUCAUUCCCCCAGUUCAGACUGCAGCUCUGGCUCCAGAAGCAUCGAGGUCCUGGAGAGGCACGAACUCGGAAGUGUGGACCCCGAUGUACUUACCUCACUCCCCCACGCAGGGUUUUCAUCCCUUGGGAAACCUGCCAGGGUCGCUUGGCUGAGAAAAGGGAUCCAGUGAACUGAAAGAGCGGUGCCGAGUCUCACCAGCCCAGCCCGGGCCCCUCUCCUGGCCUGAUACACAGGCUGUCAUUCGCCGGGAAGCCUCUCUGGGCGUGUGAAUCAGCUGGAGUCCUCAAAGUUUAGGCACCUCUCCCUCCCAGUCCCGAGGCGGAGGUUCCCACUCUUGCGUGUGCAGGAUAUCCCCUGGUGGCUCUGCAGGGCCCUGGCCGCGCAGGCAACAGAUGGAAUCUCGGCAGCUGGAGACUCAGGCGUGUGAGCCGGGAACCCGGCCAGGCCCUGUGGGAUCAUCCCUCUUGGUGCACAGGACACCCAGUGACGGUCAUCAGUGCACCAGUGUCAACUGGAUCCCCAGGGGGUGGGAGCACAUGGUACUGACCAGCGAGGGCCUCUCAGAGGCCAAGGCCACCUCCUUUCUCUGAGGCUCCCAGUCUGUUUUUUUAAAAAUCAAGAAAUAUCAAAAUAGGAUUUCUAAAACUGGCAUAUUCUACACGUUCUUUUUAUUAAGUUAGUACUUCUGACGCGUACCCAUGCAAGUGAUGAAAUAUUUUAUUUCUCUGCCCAAAAGACCAAAAAGAUUGAUGUAGUUUCAAGUGAUGCAAAAUGUCAGAACCUUGCAGCAAAAUCACAUUAAUUUUGCAUUUUCGGUAAGACAAUAUUAUCCUAAUUACAGUUUAAUGACAACCGUGUGUCACUGUACUUUAGUUUCCUGUGGCUGCUGUAACAAGCCACCGCAGGUGUGGUGCCUUCAAACAGCAGAAAUGUAUUCUCUCUCACUCUGGAGGCCACAAGUCUGAAAUCAGUUUUCGCUGGGUGAGGCUCCAGGGGCGAGUCCCUUCCUGCCUCGUCCGGCGUCUGUCGGCUUCUAGCUCCCUGGCUGCAUCACGCCAGUCUCCGCCUCUGUGGCCGCGUGGCCUUCUCCUCUUCUGCGGUAAUGUCCCCCGCUGCCUCCCUCUCAUAGGAGUCCUUGUGGUGGCAUUUAGGGCCCACCCAGAUAAUCCAGAAUAAUCUCCCCAUCUCAAAAUCCUUAGCUUAAUCACAUUUGGGGCCAGAUAAGGUAACAUUUACAGGUUUUAAGGGAUUAGAGCCUGAUUUCUUUGGGAACCGUUAUUCAACUCACCACAUACUGGUAAUCUAUAGAUUUAAAUCUUUUAAAAAUAUUUACACCAGAACAGUGCUAUGCACAGAUAACGACAGGAUUAGUAAACAUUAUUAACUCACACAGGUGCUGUGAUCCAG
ensembl:lncRNA